GGGGCCGUAGUUCAGCUGGGAGAACGCUUGACUGGCAGUCAAGAGGUCAGGGGUUCGAUCCCCCUCGGCUCCA
rnacentral:tRNA from 6 species